AAGGUUUGCAUUUUUUUAACUUUUAAUUUGCAAAUCACAUUUUAGUCAAUAGUUAUGAUGUUUAUAAUUAAUAUUUUCCUCUUACUCUAAUUUCCUUUCACCCACUUUUUUUUAAGUAUGGCUAACAACCGACACCUUCCCCCGGAUAUGUCACUACUCCGCCUUCAGCAUGAACAUAUUACAAAGGACUUAUGGGAAGACAACGAACGAGUUUUUAGACCAAGACGAACUGGAGUCUGGAUUCUAAACAACCAAGAUUUAAUUGAUCCGCGUGUCAAAUUUUUAAUGGAACAGGCUGGUUUUGGACACGCAUUGUAUAUUCCAGACAUGGAUGUCAAUCACCUUCUAAUCACUUCCUUAUUAGAAAGGUGGAGGACAGAAACUCAUACAUUCCACUUCCCACAUGGAGAGACCAUUGUGACAUUAUAGGAUGUGGUAGUCCUCCUUGGCCUACCGAUAGAUGGAGAUGUGGUCACCGAUCCCACCAUCGUGUAAGACAUAUUCUCGAUGUUCCACGAACAUCUGGUGGUAAUUCCACCACCGACGAUGAUAAGAGGAAACUCAAUUAGAGUUUCUUGGUUAAAUAGUACUUUCGAACAAAUCCUACAAAAUACAAACAACAAUGUUAUUGCUCAAUAUGCAAGAGCGUAUAUACUAACAUUGAUUAGAAGCAUUUUAAUGCCAAACACGUCUGCUACAAGGGUACAUGUGAUGUAUCUACUUAGGCUAGCUGACUUGAAUGUAGUCAGCAAUUAUAGUUGGGGGGUCUGCCGUUUUGGCCUAUCUAUAUUGUGGCCUAGAUCAUGGCAUUCACCUAAGGCAAGAAAAUAUUGGUGGAUGCAUGAUUUUGUUACAAUGUUGGGCUUGGGAGAGGAUCACUUCUAUAGCUCCACAACUUGACCCUUUAAGUGAUGAGGAAGUGGUUGCAGGGGAUGGUUUUCUCGUAUGUAGAAGUUCUUAUGGAGGCCUUAUAUUCAAAAUGAAGUUCGUCGGUUGAUUGUGGUUGACAUCCCUAUAGUGGCUAGAGCAACAAUCCCUAUAAUUUGCUUCGCGACAGUCAAAUUCCAUCAGGCGGAUAAGGUCAUGCGUCAAUUUGGUUUAAGACAAAACAUCUCGCCUAACCCAAUUAACCUCGAUUAAUUCCACAUGAAUGACUUGAUGGGAGAAAUGAAAGAGAUUGGGUGGCACAUCAUCACCGUUGGAUUGCAAUUUGGAAUGAUCGACAAAAUCGGGUCAUUCAAGGUACACCAUUUAGUGGAAAUGACCAUAUGCGUGAUGAAACACCCUACAUGCAAUGAUAUAUAAACCACACUAUCCGCUAUAUAUCUCCAAUUACGGAAUCUUCUGAUGAUGAGUAUGAUAUGUCACAAGAACCAUCCCAACCUGCUUCACAACCUUACACUGGCCCUGUCGGGUCUUCUCCAGAUUUUAUACAUCAUCCCCAACAAUUUUUUGGGCAAUCGUCUAUGGGUCACGGUUAAAUGUUUGGACAUUCAUACCCUCAGUUUGACAACCCAUCAAACACCCAAUUCUAACAUGUCCCUUCCUCGUACGGUUUCUUCCCGCAUCAGUCAGGUUAUGGUGUUGGUCCAUCACAAAUGUUUGGCACUUCAACCAUGACACCAUCAUCCGCCUAUUAUUCAGGAUCUUCUUCAUCAAUACCAUUCUAUCCUCCGCCAAUGCCUUCUCAAACUCCCCAAACAACGGUUCACCAUCCCCAAUUUUCUCAAAGUCAUCAACAUGAAGAUGAUGAUCAUGAUGAACCACACCAAGAAAAACCACCAACACGACCAACCAGACCCAGAAGACGACCUCCAUGUGGAACUGGAGGACAUAGAUGAUU